rnacentral:rRNA from 1 species
UAAUACGGAGGGUGCGAGCGUUAAUCGGAAUUACUGGGCGUAAAGCGCGCGUAGGCGGUUUGCUAAGUCCGCUGUGAAAGCCCCGGGCUUAACCUGGGAACUGCAGUGGAUACUGGCAAGCUAGAGUAUGGUAGAGGAGAGUGGAAUUUCCGGUGUAGCAGUGAAAUGCGUAGAGAUCGGAAGGAACACCAGUGGCGAAGGCGGCUCUCUGGACCAAUACUGACGCUGAGGUGCGAAAGCGUGGGGAGCAAACAGG